rnacentral:lncRNA from 1 species
CAUCAAAGGAUAAGAAGGAUGCUACAAGGACUUUUUCUCAGUAAGCCCUGAUACCUUGAUGUGAGAAGGCCAAGAAGAAGCCUAUAGAGAUGCCCACAAGAGGAGACUAAAGCUGAGAGAAACUGAGGCCCCUGGCCCUAGAGCUUUCACUGAGCUCCAGCUGACAACCAUCAUCAAAUCACCAGCCAUGUGACUGUGCCAUGAUGGGAGGGAAUCACCCAGUGUCCAAAUGAUCUGAUGCCACAUGUAAAAGAGAAGAGCCUUCCCCUUUGAGCCCUGCCCAGAUUGCUACUCUGCACCAAGUAAGUGGUGGCUGUUAUCUUAAGCCACUAGCAUUUAAGAUUUUAUUUUUUUGGGUGCAGGGUGGGAGUUGGUGUGACAUAGCAAUUGAUGACCAGGAUAGAACCAAAAAGGGAUUAUUUACUUAGCCAGAGUUACUUAAGAGAGUUCUGCUGUUCCUUUGGCCAAGAAAUUGAACAUUUUUAUUAGUACUACAUUUUGUAUUAUGUGAGUUCUCCAUGAUAUGUUACCUCCUUAAUAAACUAU